UUGCAACCUGAACUCAGGCGUGAUUACCCGCUGAACUUAAGCAUAUCAUUUAGCGGAGGAAAAGAAACUAACAAGGAUUCCCCUAGUAACGGCGAGUGAACGGGAGAAGCCCAGCGCUGAAUCUUUCGGUGUUACACCGUUAAGAAAUGUAGCGUAUAGGUGUGGUUUUCAGUUUGUGCUACUUAUCCAAAGUCCCUUUGAUAGGGCCACAUUCCCGAGAGGGUGCGAGACCUGUGCGGAUAGUGGAGCAAGCUGUACGAUCAUACCUUGGAGUCGGGUUGCUUGAAAGUGCAGCCUAAAGUGGGUGAUAAACUUCAUCUAAGGCUAAAUAUAGACGCGAAUUCGAUAGCAAACAAGUACUGUGAAGGAAAGUUGCAAAGAACUUUGAAGAGAGAGUUCAAGAGAACGUGAAAUCGCUGGAGUGGAAACGAGAGAGUUGACGUAGUCCGGUGACUAAGUUUGCCGAAAUCGCUUAAUUGUGAUUAAGGUGAAUGUAUGUUGCCUAUGGCUGCGCUGACAGCACUGGUUGUACGUUCCGAACCGUUUUCGUUGCCCAAUUUUCGAAUUGGUGUCUUGUUUACGGGUAGGUUUGUUAUGACUAGUGUUUUAUCCUGUUUUAUGCAGGGUGUCAGUGUGAAGGUCGACCACCUCUCCGACCCGUCUUGAAACACGGACCGAGGAGUGUAACUUGUACGCGAGUCAAAGGGUGGAAACCCCAAGGCGCAAUGAAAGUAAAGGUCGGUUAACCGACUGACAUGGGAUCCGUUUCGUUUUGAAGCGGCGCACCAUGGCCCUGUCUUGUCUGCUUGCAGAUGGGCAGCGGUAGAGCGUACAGGUUGCGACCCGAAAGAUGGUGAACUAUGCCUGAGCAGGACGAAGUCAGAGGAAACUCUGGUGGAAGUCCGUAUCGGUUCUGACGUGCAAAUCGAUCGAUAGACUUGGGUAUAGGGGCGAAAGACUAAUCGAACCAUCUAGUAGCUGGUUCCUCCGAAGUUUCCCCCAGGAUAGCUGGAGUUCAUUGCGGUUAUAUCCGGUAAAGCGAAUGAUUAGAGGACUUGGGGUCGAAACGACCUCAACCUAUUCUCAAACUUUCAAUGGGUAUGUUGUCUCGGUUUCUUUGUUGAACUGUUGACACGAACGCGAACUCCAAGUGGGCCAUUUUUGGUAAGCAGAACUGGCGCUGUGGGAUGAACCAAACGUUGGGUUAAGGUGCCUAACUUUUCGCUCAUGAGACCCCAUAAAAGGCGUUGGUUGAUAUAGACAGCAGGACGGUGGCCAUGGAAGUCGGUACCCGCUAAGGAGUGUGUAACAACUCACCUGCCGAAUCAACUAGCCCUGAAAAUGGAUGGCGCUUGAGCGAGAGACCUAUACCCAACCGUUGCUGGCUUGUGCGUGCCUGUCGCCUGGCUGCAACGAGUAGGAGGGUCGUGGCGGUUGCGUCGAAGGUUUUGGGCGUAGGCCCAACUGGAGCUUCCGUCAGUGCAGAUCUCGGUGGUAGUAGCAAAUAUUUAAGUUCGAUCCUUGAAGACUGAAGUGGAGAAGGGUUCCACGUGAACAGUAGUUGAAUGUGGGUCAGUCGAUCCUAAGAUACUGGCUUAUGCCUUGUAUCAUCGAGAGGAAAAGUCUCUUUCUCUCGGAUAUCAAAAGGGAAUAGGGUUAAUAUUCCCUAACGCAGACACAGAGAUUGUGGCUCUUACGAGUCACUUGCGCGGUAACGCAUUCGAACUUGGUUACGUCGCUCAGAGACCGAGCUAGAGUUCUCUUCUCUAGUUAAGGAACGGACUCCCUGGAAUCGGUUCAGCCGUAGAUAGGGACGUUGUUUCCGUAAAGCAUCGCGGUUUCUGUGAUGUCUCGUGUUCUCUGGACGGCCCUUGAAAACCAAGGGAGGCUAUUAAUCUGUGCUGCAUCGUACCGAUAUCCGCAUCAGGUCUCCAAGGUGAACAGCCUCUAGUCGAUAGAAUAAUGUAGGUAAGGGAAGUCGGCAAAUUAGAUCCGUAACUUCGGGAAAAGGAUUGGCUCCAGUGACCGGGUCGGUUGGCUUGUUAACUGAUGCUUGUGCGGUUUCGUCCGUGGCUGGCUGAUACUAACGUUGAUGCUGGACUAGUGACAUGACUGCCUUGUGGACGUUUUCAGGUGUGUGCUUUGUCUUCGGACUUAGUAUCCUGAUCGACCAUCAAAACGGUCGAACUGGAACUGGUACGGACUCGGGGAAUCCGACUGUCUAAUUAAAACAGAGGAGACAGAUGGUCCUUGCGGACGUUUACUGUCUCUGAUUUCUGCCCAGUGCUCUGAAUGUUAAAUCGUAGUAAUUCGAGUAAGCGCGGGUAAACGGCGGAGUAACUAUGACUCUCUUAAGGUAGCCAAAUGCCUCGUCAGCUAACUACUGACGCGCAUGAAUGGUGGCAUGGAGGAGCCUCCCGUGGCGCCAUCGGGCAACAUCACCAUAUGGUGAUGGCAAAUCCUCCGGCGUUCGUCGACUACAGGGGUUAGUCGCUUGUUCGCAAACGGCAGAACCGUCCCUGUAGUGAACGCAAAGCACAACAGAGGUGUCAGAACGGUCAUAGAGGUGUCAGCAUAUGUCAAAACUGUAAAGCCCACACGACAACUGUGAUAAUGAUUUGCUGUAAUCGCGAUUCGUCUUUAUGUCGGUGUUAUUAAGGCCUGGACACUGGUCUAUACUUCUGUUUCAGAAAAUGGCUUCUGCAUCGAGCGAGACGAAAUAUCUAUUGGUGGACACUGUGAAACUGUUCAGCGCCAUCAGGACAAAGUGAGUUCCUUGGUCUGAUCAGUAUAAAAUUAAAUCAAAAUGGUGUAUUACAGAGGUGUCCGGACGUCUGUAGACAAAGGGAAAGUCUUGAAAUUGCUCGAGGAAGCAGAAGCCAGAGAGAAAAAGCGUUCGAGAAAGCUGGAGGAAGAACUCCAGAGACUCCGAAAG
rnacentral:rRNA from 1 species